UAGUCCACGCCGUAAACGAUGAGUGCUAGAUGUCGGGUGUCAAAGCUCGGUAUCGCCGUUAACACAUUAAGCACUCCGCCUGGGGAGUACGUACGCAAGUAUGAAACUCAAAGGAAUUGACGGGGACCCGCACAAGUAGCGGAGCAUGUGGUUUAAUUCGAGGCAACGCGAAGAACCUUACCAGGGCUUGACAUAUCUUUGACCGGUUUAGAGAUAAACCUUCUUCUCCGGAAGCGGAGAUAC
rnacentral:rRNA from 1 species